CCAACUCCUGAAAAACAUCAUCAUCCAUAUCGAGGAGUGUCUGGAUACUUUUGUACUUGUCUAACAUUUAUCAGAAAUAUCCUCUGGUAGAACUUGCUCUGCUAAGUUAUCGUCAUUGUUAAAGGCCCAAUACUACGUAUACCACAAAGAUACUGCCAGCCAUUCCCUCUGUGAUGCUUAUCAAAGUGGCUAACAACCAUAUUUUUGUUGGUUAGGUACUAUCUGGCCUGUGCUGGGACCCUGAGAUUUCCAACCUUCGGAGGCCUCCAAACCCCACCAAACAUGGCCUCAUCCUGUCCUUGUCUUAAAGUCAUAUCAAAUAAAUCAACUGUGUGUGUGUUACAGUUAUUUAUUUGCACAGAACAAAAUAUUAUGAUUGGUUUGCUGGCUAAAUCUACAUCACCAUCAUCAUGAGGGUGAGUCAGUUGCCAUGUUUGUCUCAUGUUGGCUUAGCUAAGACAGAACAGAUGACAUUAGAGUUAGCUGAUAACAAGCAGAAACAUAAAAAAAUGAUGGAGCAGCAAAGUGGAAACCUGAAAAAAGAAAAAGAUAGUAAGGACAUUUUCAGCUUGCAGAUUUUGUGCCCUGGGGGUGCAGAGUUUGUGUAAUAUUCUCCUGGAUAAAUUGGUGUGCACACAACUUCUUAAAAAACUGCUUUUGUAAAAGUAGAAAUGUAUAACAUAACAUGUUUUAUAGCCCCUGAAAAGUCAAAGCAAGGCAAUUUAAAGUCGAUAUGCAAAACACAAGUAACCCAAAACAGUAAAAAGAUGUGAAGUCAAAAACUGUAAUCAGUUGGUUUUAGAUGAGGUAUCCGGGGCCAGUUCACCUGUUUAAAAAUAAUCUUGCAAUGAACCGACCCUGUCUCACAGGAUCUGACCUAAUUCCAUUCUCACCUCCACUGAAAGAAAGGAGUCAUGCAAUGCUUGCGGGUAACAACAUAUUUUUAUGCUUGCAUGUCUGUUGGUAUAACUAGUAUGUCAAGCAGUGUGAGAACACCUCUUCCUGCUGCAGCUCUGGCUUCCUGUUUCUGUGUUGCACCACAUAUUUACCCCCAAGUCCCAACCCUGAGGUCAGAACAGGCGUGUGGUUCCUCUCUGAGGUCCAUUAGGAAACACCCAAAGAAGAAGAGGAGGGGCAAAAAACAGGACGAAGGCAGCAGCUAGCGGUAGGUUUGUACAGUGCAAUCAGUUUCAAGUGUCAGUGGGAGUACUACUGUGUGAUCACCACUAAGGGGAGCUGCAAUCAAAGUGAUGCCUCAAGUUUGACCAGACAUACCAACUGCUCAGUUAAGACCUCACAAACAUGUAGCCCUUCUCCGUUUUAUUUUUCACGUGUUUAUAGGAAACAUUUGUUUAGGAUUAUUGUAAUUUCCGGUGUUUUCCAUCAUCACUUGUCUUGAAUUGUUGUGAGGCCAAUUUUCUACAAUUUAUACAAUAAAGUACAGAACCAAACCUAACCUACUGACGUGGUUUUUGAAAAGCAAAACCUUACUCAGAUUUGAAUGAAGCAGGGAUUAUGUUCGAAGAAUAUAACAAAAAACUCACAAUGUAUUAAAUAUCUAGUCUUCGAGGAAAUAAAUCUUCACUGCACCAUUAAUUUUCCUUAUCUGAAACGAUUUAUUACGCACAAUGCACGAGAGGUCCCACAACUUCUUACUGCAUCAAAUAUCAGACAUAAAUUCUCUGUAAGGUUCUUUUACAGAUAAACGACAACAUAAAAAGACAAAAAAGGUUGGCAGUCCUAGUAGUAGUAGUAUACACAUACUGCAUACCAUCUCACUGAAGGGAUGGCAUAAAG